rnacentral:rRNA from 1 species
UGGGGAAUAUUGGGCAAUGGAGGAAACUCUUACCCAGCAAUGCCGCGUGAGUGAAGAAGGUCUUCGGAUUGUAAAGCUCUUUGAUUGGGGACGAAUAAAUGACGGUACCCAAAGAACAAGCCCCGGCUAACUCUGUGCCAGCAGCCGCGGUAAUACAGAGGGGGCAAGCGUUGUCCGGAAUGACUGGGCGUAAAGGGUGCGUAGGUGGCUUAGCAAGUUAGAAGUGAAAUACCUAGAGCUUAACUCAGGUGCUGCUUCUAAAACUGUUGAGCUUGAGUGCAGGAGAGGUAAGUGGAAUUCCUAGUGUAGCGGUGGAAUGCGUAGAUAUUAGGAGGAACACCAGUGGCGAAGGCGACUUACUGGACUGUAACUGACACUGAGGCACGAAAGCGUGGGGAGCGAACA